rnacentral:rRNA from 1 species
AUGUUCUACCUCGUGAUAUCGAUCCCGGCGAUCCUCCUGUUGCUCGUCCUGGCGCUGGGGUGCUACAUGCUCGGCCGGAACCGCGGCCGAUCGGCCGCGCCGCAGCAGUUCGCGCCACCGGCGCCGCCCAAGUAG